GAUGAAGAACGCAGCGAAAUGCGAUAAGUAAUGUGAAUUGCAGAAUUCAGUGAAUCAUCGAAUCUUUGAACGCACAUUGCGCCCAUUAGCAUUCUAGUGGGCAUGCCUGUUCGAGCGUCAUUUCAACCCUUAAGCCCUGUUGCUUAGCGUUGGGAGCCUACAGUACUGUAGCUCCCCAAAGUUAGUGGCGGAGUCGGUUUCACACUCUAGACGUAGUAAUUUUUUCUCGUCUGUAGUUGAUCCGGUCCCCUGCCGUAAAACACCCAAUUUAUCAAGGUUGACCUCGGAUCAGGUAGGAAUACCCGCUGAACUUAAGCAUAUCAAUAAGCGGAGGA
rnacentral:misc_RNA from 1 species